UACUAAGCUACGAAGGGCGCUCGGCGGAUGCCUUGGCGCCAAGGGCCGACGAAGGGCGUAGCAGGCUGCGAUAAGCCACGGGGAGCCGCGAGCAGGCGCUGAUCCGUGGAUUCCCGAAUGGGGAAACCCGGCGGGGGUAAUACCUCGUCACGAUGCGAUGAAGGCCUUCGGGCCGUAGUAGCCGCAUCGAGGGCACCGGGGGAACUGAAACCUCUAAGUACCCCGAGGAAGCAAAAUCAAACGAGAUUCCCGAAGUAGUGGCGAGCGAAACGGGAACAGUCCAAAUCCGGUCGGUGUGAUAGGCCCACGCCGUUGCCGACCGGGCGUUGUAGGAGCCGGAGCCGCUUGUGGGAGCGGCACCCAGUUACCAAAUCGUCCGUUAGCCGAAGGGGCUGGAACGCCCCACCAGAGACGGUGAGAGUCCGGUAGGCGAAAACGGCGCGAUCUGGGCCGGAGUUCCUGAGUACCACGGGACACGUGAAACCCUGUGGGAACCUGGGAGGACCACCUUCCAAGACUAAAUACCCUUGGCGACCGAUAGCGAACAAGUACCGUGAGGGAAAGGUGAAAAGAACCCCGGGAGGGGAGUGAAAUAGAACCUGAAACCGAGCGCUUACAGACAGUCAGAGCGCUAUGCCGUGUGAGGCGCGGACCGGUGGGGCGAGGCCCCGGCGGCCAUCUUCGGAUGGCCAAACGGGCAGCAAGCCACCGGACAAGCGCCUCGUCAGCACGGAAUGCGUGAUGGCGUGCCUUUUGGAGUAUGAACCGGCGAGUUACUUUGCAUGGCAAGGUUAAGGGCCUCAGGUCCGGAGCCGUAGGGAAACCGAGUCUGAAUAGGGCGCUGAGUCAUGUGGAGUAGACCCGAAACCAGGUGAGCUACCCCUGGCCAGGGUGAAGCGGAAGUAACAUUCCGUGGAGGCCCGAACUCACCAGAGUCUCAAAUCUGGGGGAUGAGCUGGGGGUAGAGGUGAAAUGCCAAUCGUACCUGGAGAUAGCUGGUUCUCCCCGAAAUAGCUUUAGGGCUAGCGUCGGGCUAUGGUGUCGUGGAGGUAGAGCACUGACUGGGUACGGACCCUAACGGGUACCAAGUCCUAUCAAACUCCGAAUGCUGCGACAUCGGCCCGGCAGUCAGACUGUGGGGGCUAAUCUCCAUGGUCAAAAGGGAAACAGCCCAGACCGUCGGCUAAGGUCCCUAAGUUCUUGCUAAGUGGGAAAGGAUGUGGGGUCGCACAGACAGCCAGGAUGUUGGCUUAGAAGCAGCCAUCAUUUAAAGAAUGCGUAACAGCUCACUGGUUCAGGGGCCCUGCGCCGAAAAUGUAACGGGGCUCAAGCAAGACACCGAAGCCACGGGUCGGCGGUUUAUGCCGCCGGCGGUAGGGGAGCGUUCUGCGGGCCGCGAAGGUCGAGCGUGAGCACGGCUGGAGCGCGCAGAAGAGAGAAUGCCGGUAUGAGUAGCGUCAAUGCAGGUGAGAAUCCUGCACCCCGAAAGCCCAAGGGUUCCUGAGGAAGGAUACUCCGCUCAGGGUUAGUCGGGCCUAAGCCGAGGCCGAAGGGCGUAGGCGAAGGGCAACGGGUUUAUAUUCCCGUACCACCUCGAAUGCGAUAUCAGCGAAGGGGGGACCCGGGACGGUAGGUUGAGCGUACUUAUGGCUAUGUACGUCCAAGCGUGUAGGAAGGCGCCGCAGGCAAAUCCACGGCGCUAGUUCCGAGACGCGAUGGGAAGCUCAAGGUCACCCGCGAGCAACUCGAUUGAUCCGACCUGGCUAGAAAAGCCUCGUAGCGAGCACUUGAGGUGUCCGUACCGCAAACCGACACUGGUGGGCACCGGCGAAAACCGGAAGGGGAUCGGGACACGGUCUGCUAAGGAACUCGGCAAAUUAGCCCCGU
rnacentral:rRNA from 1 species